UACGUAGGGUGCGAGCGUUAAUCGGAAUUACUGGGCGUAAAGCGUGCGCAGGCGGCGCGUUAAGACAGGUGUGAAAGCCCCGAGCUUAACUUGGGAAUUGCGCUUGUGACUGGCGAGCUGGAGUGUGGCAGAGGGAGGUGGAAUUCCCGGUGUAGCGGUGAAAUGCGCAGAUAUCAGGAGGAACACCGAUUGCGAAGGCAGCUCGCUGGAACGUUACUGACGCUGAGACGCGAAAGCGUGGGGAGCGAACAGG
rnacentral:rRNA from 1 species